AUGAGCAAGGUAACAGGAGUGGUCACAACAACAGCAGCAAAUCCUUUCAAAGAUGUGAGGGCUGCGAUGCACAUUACUAUUGGUGUCAUAUGGAUGAUACCCAGAAGUAUUUCUUCAAGUGCAUGGUUGGCAAUUUCCAAGAUAGAAUGGCAAGCCCUGACCAUACCACAUAAGUUUGUGGAGAAUUUCAAAGGUCAGAUCUCUGAAGUUAUCAAGCUAGAAGCGCCUGAUGGAAACAUAUUCAACGUUCAGGCUACCAAGGAUCUAAACAAGAUAGUCCUGGGAUCUGGAUGGGGGGUAUUUAUCAGCUUUUACGAAGUAAAAGAGGACAAUUUCCUGGUCUUUAGGUACAUGGGGGAUUCUCACUUCAAAGUUCUGAUAUUUGAUUUUGGAAGUUGCUGUGAGAAGGAAGUGUUCCACGUUCUCGUGAACUACGGUCCUAAUGCCCAAGAAAAAGACAUUCGUCUUGAUCAAUCACCGCUGAGCGAAAGGCGAUGCCAGAAUGGUGGAUCAAGCAACGGUGGGUCCCAUCGAAGGUGCGAGCACUGCGAUGUGCAUUUCUAUUGGCAUCACAUGGAUGAUAGGCAGAAGCAUUUCUUGAGGCUCAUGUUUGGUGAUUUCCGUCAAGAAAUCAGUAUACCAGAGAAAUUUGUGAACAAUUUCAGAGGCAGGAUAUCUAAAGUUAUGAAGCUAGAAGCUCCUGAUGGAAACGUAUACAACAUUCAGGUUAUCAAUGAUCUGACAAGAUAG
rnacentral:rRNA from 1 species